rnacentral:rRNA from 1 species
GGCUGUGAUGGGGAGCGAAAAUUAUAGUAGCGAAGGUCAUGAUCUCACACUGCCAAGAAAAGCCUCUAGCCAGGAGAAGGUGCCCGUACCGCAAACCGACACAGGUAGGCGAGAAGAGAAUUCUAAGGCGCGCGGAAGAACUCUCGUUAAGGAACUCGGCAAAAUGACCCCGUAACUUCGGGAGAAGGGGUGCCCCGGUAGUGUGAAUAGCACGAGGGGGCCGCAGUGAAAAGGCCCAAGCGACUGUUUAGCAAAAACACAGGUCUGUGCGAAGCCGCAAGGCGAAGUAUACGGGCUGACGCCUGCCCGGUGCUGGAAGGUUAAGGGGAGUGGUUAGG